UACGAAGGGGGCUAGCGUUGCUCGGAAUUACUGGGCGUAAAGCGCACGUAGGCGGCUCUAUAAGUCGGGGGUGAAAUCCUGGAGCUCAACUCCAGAACUGCCUUCGAUACUGUAGAGCUUGAGUUCGGGAGAGGUGAGUGGAACUGCGAGUGUAGAGGUGAAAUUCGUAGAUAUUCGCAAGAACACCAGUGGCGAAGGCGGCUCACUGGCCCGAUACUGACGCUGAGGUGCGAAAGCGUGGGGAGCAAACAGG
rnacentral:rRNA from 1 species